GUCGCUGCAAACUCAGCGACCGGGAUUGGAACCCCGUGGUGUUAACGAGGCAAAAGCGCCUUUCAUAACGUAUGCUUGCGCACCUUUA
rnacentral:ncRNA from 1 species